rnacentral:lncRNA from 1 species
CUCCUUGGCAGAUAAUGCUAAAUGUUUUGUGUAACUAUAGUAACUGGUGAUCCACAGGGCGGAUGGAAAGAUGCCAUCUCAUCGACAUGUUGGCACGGUCCACAAGGGGUCAGGUUGUUUGUGCAAUGGUGGGCGGCCUGGUAGUACUAGGCUGUGUGAAACAACAAUAAAACCAUAAAACUCAGCUGUGAGAACUCGACCAAACCAGCUGGGUCUCUACAGCAGAUUGGAAGCCAAAGUGACGGCGAAACAGAUCAGGAUGCAAGGAAGCAGGAAACUCUCUCCUAGUGACUGGUCACACUCCCAGAUUCUUCUGAUGGAGAUGCCAGAACUGUCUUCCUGCUCGUGUCUCCACCUCCCAGUGAUGUCAGUGUGUUUGGGUUGUUAGUGGUUUUUGUUGCCUUAAGAAUAAAGAAUGGACUGG